GUCUCUUAAACUUCACCUAAAACAAACCCAUCAAUUAACAAUGACAAAACACCAAACACACCUAAACAUAACCAUCACUAACAAGAGAAAUAAAUAACGAACAAAAAUUAGGGAACGAUCAUGCCUUACCUUUAGCACAUACCCCACAAAACAAGGAUUAACUCUUCAAGAAUUAGCAGUAGCAAAAAUUGAAGAAUAAAAGAAAGACGAAAUAGAAGGGAAAAAUCAAAUAAAGAAGAAGAUAGAUUUCGAUAGCAAAAAACAGAACAAGCGAUGUGUAAAACAAAUGGGGAAUGAGGGGUAACCAACUUGAAACAAAAAGUUGGAGCAGACUUAGAGAGAAUCAAGGAAAAAUAAAAUAAAAAUAAAAUAAAACCAAAUAAAAUAAUGGUCUUUUUAUUUUUCUUUUAUUAUAGUAAGAUAUUCAAACAUAUCCCAGUACCUAAAAAACCACACAAUAAGGUCGGC
rnacentral:lncRNA from 1 species